GCCGCCGCCACCGGGGAAGGAUGGAAAAGUGUGUGCUCCUUCCGGAGUCAAACCUGGAGGUGGGCUGCUCGUAAACACGUGAUCGGUGCACCGAGCGAGCAGAGACGUCCCGCUGCAGAUUUGAACCCGGAGCUCAGCCGCUUCGCUAGGGCUUUCCCCGGAAAGAUGGAGACGCCCCAAGAGGUGGUUUAGGGAGUCCUGCUGAGCGAGCACGAAGUGCCGCCGGAAGGAUGGAGUGGAGACAGAGGAGUGGAGGACCUGAAACAGUGGUCAGUGCUGAGAGAUGUCACCAAGUAGGACAGGCCCCGAGGGUCAGCAAAACCAGCGUGAGGAAAUAGCAAUUUAAGUCACCUGGAGAGAGGGCAAGACUCAACAUGAUGUUCAAUAUUUACUUGCUUUGGAGCCAGUCUUUAAUGGAGAACCUUUUCUAUGUCAACAGUAUCUUGUCAAACAGAAGGUUCUUAGCCACAGCACGGAGGGUUCCCAGCCACAGCACGGAUGGACAGCCGCAGAACGAGGGGACGGCAGAACUUCAUUCCAGGACCUGCCCACCAACAUCCCAGGACUUCACAAGAUACCCUCUCAUCCCCCUGCCCCCCAAGAGCCAACCAACGCCCACUAUUCAGCUGGAAGCAGUCUUUGAGAGAAACGUCGCCCCCAUACCCCGGCAACCACAAUUUUUUUCUUUUUUAAAAAAGGAAGAGUCAGGGAUGAAAGGUUUACAACAAGCCCCCACGGUCAGGCGUGUUUGCAUAUGCCCGACGGACACUUCUGCCAGGUCCAGGUCAGGAUAGCCAUUUCCGGGUUAGGGCAUCUCGCGUGACCAAGAUCCGUGACGUUCCAUUGGCUAUGUAGGCGCGCAACGUGGCCAUGUGAUCUACGCGCUUGCGUGUAGUAGUGACGCUGAUCUGUCCACGCCCAGCCUUUAAAAUUCGGCGCCAUGUUCCCGGUUUCUUCUUCUUCCUCUUCCUCCUUCUUCUCCACACACGUGUUUCCCGCAGGCCUGUUCACUCUCUGUCCCUUUAAUAAAACUCUUGUUAGCGGA